CCUACGGGUGGCAGCAGUGAGGAAUAUUGGUCAAUGGCCGGAAGGCUGAACCAGCCAAGCCGCGUGAGGGAGGAAGGCGCAGAGCGUCGCAGACCUCUUUUGCCGGGGGACAAAAGGCCGGACUCGUCCGGUCCUGAGGGUCCCCGGAGAAAAAGCAUCGGCUAACUCCGUGCCAGCAGCCGCGGUAAUACGGGGGAUGCGCUCGUUCUCCGGAUUCCUUGGGUUUAAAGGGUGCGCAGGCGGGCCUUUAAGCCGGCGGUGAAAUCGCGGGGCUCAACCCCGCAGAGCCGUCGUUACUGGGGGCCUUGAGUGCGGCGGAGGCAUGCGGAAUGCGCGGUGUAGCGGUGAAAUGCAUAGAGAUCGCGCAGAACCCCGAUUGCGAAGGCAGCGGGCCGUGCCGCCACUGACGCGGAGGCACGAAAGCGCGGGGAUCGAACAGGAUGAGAUACCCGGGUAGUC
rnacentral:rRNA from 1 species